rnacentral:tRNA from 1 species
UGCAUCGGCCGGGAAUCGAACCCGGGCCUCCCGCGUGGCAGGCGAGCAUUUUACCACUGAACCACCGAUGC